GCAGGCUGCAACCCGCCCUGCAUGAAGUCGGAAUUGCUAGUAAUCGCGGAUCAGAAUGCCGCGGUGAAUACGUUCCCGGGCCUUGUACACACCGCCCGUCACACCAUGAGAGCCGGUAACACCCGAAGUCAGGAGCCUAACCGCAAGGAGGGCGCUGCCGAAGGUGGGAUUGGUAAUUGGGGUGAAGUCGUAACAAGGUACC
rnacentral:rRNA from 1 species